rnacentral:rRNA from 1 species
AUGGCCGGCGAGGAGCCGACCACAUUCGCGGAGGCCGAGCAAGAGGAUUGCUGGCGCCACGCGAUGUUGGACGAGCUGGCGUCGAUCAACGACAACGCCAUUUGGACACUCACCACACUGCUUGCUGGGCACCGAGCCAUCGGGCUCAAGUGGGUGUUCAAGGUGAAGAAGGACGAGCACGGUGCCAUUGUCAUGCACAAGGCGCGCCUCGUCGCAAAGGGCUACGUGCAGCGUGAGGGAGUGGACUUCGAGGAAGUCUUCGCUCCGGUGGCAAGGCUGGAGUCGGUGCGGCUCAUCCUUGCCCUGGCCGCUCACCGCGGGUGGGAGGUACACCACAUGUACGUCAAGUCGGCGUUUCUCAACGGCGACCUUAACGAGGAGGUGUACGUCUCCCAACCACCCGGGUUCGUUGCCAAGGGCCACGAGCAGGGCGUGUAUCGACUACACAAGGCCCUGUAUGGUCUCCGGCAAGCCCCAAGGGCGGGGAACGCCAAGCUCGAUGCAAGCCUCGCAUCCCUUGGGUUCUCAUGCAGCGCUUCUGAGCAUGGUGUGUACUCGCGUGGCACCGCGAACACGCUGCUCAUCGUCCGCAUCUACGUCGACGACUUGGUCAUUAUCGGGGCAGAGCCUAAAGAGGUUCAACGCUUCAAGGGAGAGAUGCAUCAUCUCUUCAGCAUGAGCGACCUUGGGCUGCUCCGUUACUACCUCGGGCUGGAGGUGAACCAGGAGGGUGGUCGCAUCACGAUCACGCAGACGGCCUACGCCACCAAGAUGCUCGAGCGAGCAGGCAUGAAGGACUGUCAUGCCGUGCACGCUCCAAUGGAGGCACGGCUGAAGCUCAGCAAGGAGAGCUCCAAGAAGGCGGUGGAUGCUACACUCUACCGUAGCAUCAUCGGGAGUCUCAGGUACCUCGUGCACACCCGACCGGACAUCACGUUCGUUGUCGGGUACCUGAGUAGGUUCAUGGAAGCCCCGGCAAGCGAUCACCUCGCUGCUGUCAAGCACCUGCUCCGGUACAUCGCGGGUACGCUCACGCAUGGAUGCGUGUAUCAUCGUGGCGACGGCGAAAGCUUGGUCGGAUACAGCGACUCUGACCACGCUGGUGACGUGGACUCCCGGAAGAGCACCUCGGGCAUACUAUUCCUUCUCGGGAAUAGUCCCGUCAGCUGGCAAUCGGUGAGGCAGAAGGUUGUCGCCGUAUCUUCGUGCGAGGCGGAGUACAUCGCGGCAGCUACAGCAGCCUGUCAAGGCAUUUGGCUUGCUCGCCUUAUCGGCGAGAUGCUGAAUCAGGACACCGCCCCUGCGCUCAUCUUCGUCGACAACAAGUCGGCGAUUUCCCUCGGUAAGAAUCCAGUGCUUCACGACCGCAGCAAACACAUCGAUCUCCGCUAUCACUUCAUACGUGACUGCGUCGAGAAAGGCUCGGUGAUCGUGGAGUUCGUCAGGACUGGUGAACAGAAGGCGGACAUCCUGACCAAGUCACUUGGUCGUGUCCGGUUCCAGGAGCUGCGCGACAAGGUCGGGAUCAUCGACACCAAGCUCCUUCUACAAGGUUGA